GACGAAGGAUGCAAGCGUUAUCCGGAUUCAUUGGGUUUAAAGGGCGCGUAGGCGGCCUUCUAAGUCGAACGUGAAAUCCCUGGGCUCAACCCAGGAACUGCGUCCGACACUGGAAGGCUUGAAUCCGGGAGAGGGAUGCGGAAUUCCAGGUGUAGCGGUGAAAUGCGUAGAUAUCUGGAGGAACACCGGUGGCGAAGGCGGCGUUCUGGACUGUUUCUGACACUGAGGAACGAAAGCCAGGGGAGCAAACGGG
rnacentral:rRNA from 1 species